rnacentral:rRNA from 1 species
UACGUAGGGUGCGAGCGUUGUCCGGAAUUAUUGGGCGUAAAGAGCUCGUAGGCGGUCUGUCGCGUCGGAUGUGAAAAUCAGGGCCCAACCCUGGACCUGCAUUCGAUACGGGCAGACUAGAGUUCGGUAGGGGAGACGUGGAAUUCCUGGUGUAGCGGUGAAAUGCGCAGAUAUCGAGGAGGAACACCGGUGGCGAAGGCGGGUCUCUGGGCCGAAACUGACGCUGGAGGAGCGAAAGCGUGGGGAGCAAACAG